rnacentral:tRNA from 1 species
AUUCAUGUAGUUUACUUAAAACAUUACACUUUCACUGUAAAAACAAGUUUCGACUUCAUGAAUG